AAAUUGAAGAGUUUGAUCAUGGCUCAGAUUGAACGCUGGCGGCAGGCCUAACACAUGCAAGUCGAACGGUAACAGGAAGCAGCUUGCUGCUUUGCUGACGAGUGGCGGACGGGUGAGUAAUGUCUGGGAAACUGCCUGAUGGAGGGGGAUAACUACUGGAAACGGUGGCUAAUACCGCAUAACGUCGCAAGACCAAAGAGGGGGACCUUCGGGCCUCUUGCCAUCAGAUGUGCCCAGAUGGGAUUAGCUUGUUGGUGAGGUAACGGCUCACCAAGGCGACGAUCCCUAGCUGGUCUGAGAGGAUGACCAGCCACACUGGAACUGAGACACGGCCCAGACUCCUACGGGAGGCAGCAGUGGGGAAUAUUGCACAAUGGGCGCAAGCCUGAUGCAGCCAUGCCGCGUGUAUGAAGAAGGCCUUCGGGUUGUAAAGUACUUUCAGCGGGGAGGAAGGUGUUGUGGUUAAUAACCGCAGCAAUUGACGUUACCCGCAGAAGAAGCACCGGCUAACUCCGUGCCAGCAGCCGCGGUAAUACGGAGGGUGCAAGCGUUAAUCGGAAUUACUGGGCGUAAAGCGCACGCAGGCGGUCUGUCAAGUCGGAUGUGAAAUCCCCGGGCUCAACCUGGGAACUGCAUUCGAAACUGGCAGGCUUGAGUCUUGUAGAGGGGGGUAGAAUUCCAGGUGUAGCGGUGAAAUGCGUAGAGAUCUGGAGGAAUACCGGUGGCGAAGGCGGCCCCCUGGACAAAGACUGACGCUCAGGUGCGAAAGCGUGGGGAGCAAACAGGAUUAGAUACCCUGGUAGUCCACGCCGUAAACGAUGUCUACUUGGAGGUUGUGCCCUUGAGGCGUGGCUUCCGGAGCUAACGCGUUAAGUAGACCGCCUGGGGAGUACGGCCGCAAGGUUAAAACUCAAAUGAAUUGACGGGGGCCCGCACAAGCGGUGGAGCAUGUGGUUUAAUUCGAUGCAACGCGAAGAACCUUACCUGGUCUUGACAUCCACAGAAGAAUCCAGAGAUGGAUUUGUGCCUUCGGGAACUGUGAGACAGGUGCUGCAUGGCUGUCGUCAGCUCGUGUUGUGAAAUGUUGGGUUAAGUCCCGCAACGAGCGCAACCCUUAUCCUUUGUUGCCAGCGGUUAGGCCGGGAACUCAAAGGAGACUGCCAGUGAUAAACUGGAGGAAGGUGGGGAUGACGUCAAGUCAUCAUGGCCCUUACGACCAGGGCUACACACGUGCUACAAUGGCGCAUACAAAGAGAAGCGACCUCGCGAGAGCAAGCGGACCUCAUAAAGUGCGUCGUAGUCCGGAUUGGAGUCUGCAACUCGACUCCAUGAAGUCGGAAUCGCUAGUAAUCGUGGAUCAGAAUGCCACGGUGAAUACGUUCCCGGGCCUUGUACACACCGCCCGUCACACCAUGGGAGUGGGUUGCAAAAGAAGUAGGUAGCUUAACCUUCGGGAGGGCGCUUACCACUUUGUGAUUCAUGACUGGGGUGAAGUCGUAACAAGGUAACCGUAGGGGAACCUGCGGUUGGA
rnacentral:rRNA from 3 species